AUAAACCGUUUGGAUCGGGUCUGGAAUUUCUGAGC
rnacentral:sRNA from 1 species